UGGAUUGGUGGCCUUCGGGGAACUCUGACACAGGUGCUGCAUGGCUGUCGUCAGCUCGUGUCGUGGAGAUGUUGGGUUAAGUCCCGUAACGAGCGCAACCCUUGUCCUUAGUUACCAGCACGUUAUGGUGGGCACUCUAAGGAGACUGCCGGUGACAAACCGGAGGAAGGUGGGGAUGACGUCAAGUCAUCAUGGCCCUUACGGCCUGGGCUACACACGUGCUACAAUGGUCGGUACAAAGGGUUGCCAAGCCGCGAGGUGGAGCUAAUCCCAUAAAACCGAUCGUAGUCCGGAUCGCAGUCUGCAACUCGACUGCGUGAAGUCGGAAUCGCUAGUAAUCGUGAAUCAGAAUGUCACGGUGAAUACGUUCCCGGGCCUU
rnacentral:rRNA from 1 species